CGCGCAGGCGGCCAGGUAAGUCGAAUGUGAAAGCCCCCGGCUCAACUGGGGAGGGUCAUUCGAUACUGCUUGGCUCGAAGGUAGGAGAGGGAAGCGGAAUUUCAGGUGUAGUGGUGAAAUGCGUAGAUAUCUGAAGGAACACCAGUGGCGAAGGCGGCUUUCUGGCCUAUUCUUGACGCUGAGGCGCGAAAGCUAGGGGAGCGAACG
rnacentral:rRNA from 1 species